rnacentral:lncRNA from 1 species
GGAUGAUCGGAUGAAUGAAGCCCCCAGUGCACGUAGCGGGUUCGGCCAAUGGUCGUGUCUGACAAGCGUAUCUCUAUUGGCCUUUGUUGAGGGCUACAGGAACCACUACGGGGUCAACAUGGACUUUUUACGACUCCGGUUAGGUCCAGCCUCUGCUGCGACGGGUUUCAGGUUGUUUUGAGAGAUUCCCGCAGUCAAAUGUCACAGCAAGGUGUGCAACCAGUAGAGAACUAGUCAACAUUUUUUCGUGUCGCGGGGUCAGCCACAAGGUUGUCACUGCGCCGCCUCCCAUAAAAGAAUUGUAGCUUCAAAGGCGAAUCUCUCAUUUCCCAGCGCUGCUGUCUGAUCUCAGUUCGGAACCGGCAAUGGAACCGUUGCUUUGAAACCGUUUUUUCAGCGUUGCUCCCUGCAUCUGCGAGCGACGCUCUGCAUUGUGUAAAGACUCGCUGCCCAGCCGAGGGACCAGGGAAGUAAGUGUGUCGCAAAGGAAGCUACGUUUUCCUUGCUUGCAACGAUCGUGAUUCGGAGGGGUGCCAAAUCACCCUUGAUUCUCCCAAAGCAAGGCUGUAGUCCAUGGUAUGAAAGCCUCCGUGGCUCCAUAUUCCCCUGUCCCGCCUUAUGGAGCUCCUCACAGGCCGCUCAGGCGGUUGAUGCAAACUGUACACUUUCCUCCCAUCGUCACGCACGAAAGCGUUGCGUGCCUCCCAGAGAAGGAUGCUGGAG